rnacentral:rRNA from 1 species
UACGGAGGGGGCUAGCGUUGUUCGGAAUUACUGGGCGUAAAGCGCACGUAGGCGGCUUUGUAAGUCAGAGGUGAAAGCCCGGAGCUUAACUCCGGAAUUGCCUUUGAGACUGCAUCGCUUGAAUCCGGGAGAGGUGAGUGGAAUUCCGAGUGUAGAGGUGAAAUUCGUAGAUAUUCGGAAGAACACCAGUGGCGAAGGCGGCUCACUGGACCGGUAUUGACGCUGAGGCGCGAAAGCUAGGGGAGCAAACGGG